AGUGAACGCUGGCGGUGGGCCUAACACAUGCAAGUCGAACGGCAGCACAGUAAGAGCUUGCUCUUACGGGUGGCGAGUGGCGGACGGGUGAGGAAUACAUCGGAAUCUACUUUUUCGGGGGGGAUAACGUAGGGAAACUUACGCUAAUACCGCAUACGACCUACGAGUGAAAGCAGGUGAGCUUCGGACCUUGCGCGAUUGAAUGAGCCGAUGUCGGAUUAGCUAGUUGGCGGGGUAAAGGCCCACCAAGGCGACGAUCCGUAGCUGGUCUGAGAGGAUGAUCAGCCACAUUGGAACUGAGACACGGUCAAGACUCCUACGGGAGGAAGCAGUGGGGAAUAUUGGACAAUGGGCGCAAGCCUGAUCCAGCCAUACCGCGUGGGUGAAGAAGGCCUUCGGGUUGUAAAGCCCUUUUGUUGGGAAAGAAAAGCAGCAGGUUAAUACCCCGCUGUUCUGACGGUACCCAAAGAAUAAGCACCGGCUAACUUCGUG
rnacentral:rRNA from 1 species